rnacentral:rRNA from 1 species
AGUGAACGCUGGCGGUAGGCCUAACACAUGCAAGUCGAACGGCAGCACAGUAAGAGCUUGCUCUUACGGGUGGCGAGUGGCGGACGGGUGAGGAAUACAUCGGAAUCUACUUUUUCGUGGGGGAUAACGUAGGGAAACUUACGCUAAUACCGCAUACGACCUACGGGUGAAAGCAGGGGAUCUUCGGACCUUGCGCGAUUGAAUGAGCCGAUGUCGGAUUAGCUAGUUGGCGGGGUAAAGGCCCACCAAGGCGACGAUCCGUAGCUGGUCUGAGAGGAUGAUCAGACACACUGGAACUGAGACACGGUCCAGACUCCUACGGGAGGAAGCAGUGGGGAAUAUUGGACAAUGGGAGCAAGCCUGAUCCAGCAAUACCGCGUGGGUGAAGAAGGCCUUCGGGUUGUAAAGCACUUUUGUUGGGAAAGAAAAGCAGCAGGUUAAUACCCCGCUGUUCUGACGGUACCCAAAGAAUAAGCACCGGCUAACUUCGUG